rnacentral:rRNA from 1 species
GACGAACGCUGGCGGCGUGCUUAACACAUGCAAGUCGAACGGAAAGGCCCUGCUUGUAGGGUACUCGAGUGGCGAACGGGUGAGUAACACGUGGGUGAACUGCCCUGCACUUCGGGAGAUGCCUGGGAAACUGGGGCGAAUACCGGGGAGGGGCCCUUUUGAUGGUUAUGGUUGGAAAGUUUUUUCCGUGUGGGAGGGGCGCGCGGGCUAUCAGCUUGUUGGUGGGGUAAGGGCCUACCAACGCGGCGUCGGGUAGCCGGCCUGGGAGGGUGGACGGCCCCCUUGGGAAUGAGAAGAGGCCCAGACUCCUACGGGAGGCCGCCGUGGGGAAUAUUGCACAAUGGGCGCAAGCCUGAUGCAGCGACGCCGCGUGGGGGAUUAAGGGCUUUGGGUUGUAAACUCCUUUCGCCAGGGACGAAGCUUUUUGUGACGGUACUUAGUAAAGAAGCACCGGCUAACUACGUG